GCCAUCUGCUAGCUGGAGAAUCAAGAAAGCAAGCAGUCAGCCCCAGACCAAAGGCCUGAAAACCAGGGAAGCCAGUGGUGUAAUUCUAGUCCAAGGGUAGGAGAAAAUGAGAUGAGAUGUCCCAGCUCCAGCACUAAGGGAGGGAAAAAAAAGGAGCGAAUUCCUCCUUCUUGCACCUUCUGUUCUAUUCAGACCAUCAGCAGAUCACCUGAUGCCUACCAGUACUGGAGAGGCGCUCUACUUUACUGAUUCCAUCAAUUCAAAUGCUAACCUCAUCAAGAAACACCUUCACAGGCACACCCAGAAGUCACAGUUAACAUGGACAUUCUAUGGCCCAGUCAAGUUGACGCAUAAAAUUAACCAUCACAAUCCACCUGGAGACCUGCAUAGGAAGAGCCUGCGUUGACCAGGGAUUGAGUGUAUAGGGAUUGAAGAAAAGAAUUGCAAGAGACUACACACAACUGGUUUGUCUUUUUGGCCAAAAGAACUGGGGGAGAAAAGGAUCCAGAAGAGAACCUCUGAAGAGCCCACCAAAGCAUCCUUGAGAAAAUGCCAGUACUAACCGUCUUGCCAGUCGACAGACUCAGCAAGAAGCCACCAGCCAAGGCAUCAUGUGUUUCUGCUACUUCAGCUCCUUGGAUUCCAUCAGCUUGACGUCCUGUGAAAUGGCCGAGUGCCCACAGACCAAACCAUGGCACCACACCAGAGAGGUAUCAGUACUCAGGUGUUAUGAUUACUGGUAUGGUCAGCCUCCUUUCUGGCUGCAGCAGAGGUGGCCAAUCGGCCACCAAAGCUUCCUGCUCCCCACUGCCUGGCGUGGAAAGUGACUGCCCCGUCAAGGACUACAUCCAGGGCUCCUUCCUGCUGCUGGGCCACUGCCACUGCUGUCUUCCUCCAAAACACUGCCUGACACCUAGAGCAUGGCGCCACUAAGC